rnacentral:rRNA from 1 species
UACGUAGGGUGCAAGCGUUGUCCGGAAUUAUUGGGCGUAAAGAGCUCGUAGGCGGUUCGUCGCGUCGGCUGUGAAAAACCCGAGGCUCAACCUCGGGGCCUGCAGUCGAUACGGGCGGACUGGAGUUCGGCAGGGGGAGACUGGAAUUCCUGGUGUAGCGGUGAAAAUGCGCAGAUAUCAGGAGGAACACCGGUGGCGAAAGGCGGGGUCUCUGGGCCGAUACUGACGUGAUGGACGAAAAGCUAGGGGGGAGCGAACGGGG